rnacentral:lncRNA from 1 species
CUUCUGGUCCAGCCUGUGGUUUCACCCACCAUCCAUGUUUGCUUCUGGUAGGGGAGCCUCAGCACCUCUGCCGCCCUCCAGGACCUCCUCCCUCACCUGGUCGAAGCAGUAUGGUGUGUUCUGGAAGUCCACAUGCAGCAGGUUGCCCAGCCCGGGCAGUGGCAGGGGGCCUGACGGAGAUUUCCUCUUGUUGCCCAGGCUGGUGGCUCCCCUCCAUUGUGCAAUGAUGCAAUCUCGGCUCACUACAACCUUCACCUCUAGGCUUCAAGCAAUUCUCCUGCCUCAGCCUCCUAAGUAGCUGGGAUUACAGAGACCGGGUUCUUCCAAGUUGUCCAGGCUGGUCUUGAAUUCCUGGGGUGAAGCGAUCCUCCCACCUGGGCCUCCCAAAGUGCUGGGAUUACAGGCCUGAGCCACUGUGACUACCUGAUACGUCUCUUCUCUCUUGCUGCUUUCAAAAUCCUGUCUUUUGUGGGAGGGCAGCUGCCGAGCUCUGGACUUCUACGGGAUCAUCCACUGAGGACAGGAGGACCGGGCCCUCUACAGACACUGCUCUAGUACCAGUCCUGGCUCUUUGCCCCAGGAGCAAAUUAAAAGCUUGACGGCGUCUCCAGGUCUCUGGAUCUCUGUGCAUUGCUCUUCAUGCUUGUUCCUGUUCCUCAGAGGGUACUACCUCAGGUGGCCUCUCUCCAUAGUCACAGGCUCUUUCUUCCAAUUGUUCCAAUCUGCUCUUGGGCCCCUGGGAUGAAUUUUCAUUUAUUUUACCCUACAACUCCAGAAUUUUUAUUUGGUUCCUUUUUAAACUUUUUUUUUGUUUUUUGUUUUGUUUUGUUUUUUGGAGUAUCGCUCUGUCACCCAGGCUGUAGUGCAGUGGUGCAAUCUCG